rnacentral:rRNA from 1 species
CAAUAGCGUAUAUUUAAGUUGUUGCAGUUAAAAAGCUCGUAGUCGGAUUUUGGCUGAGAACGAUCGGUCCGCCGCUAGGUGUGCACUGAUUGGUCUCAGCUUCCUGGUGAGGAGGUGUGCUUCACGGCCACUUAGUCACCGUGGUUACUUUGAAAAAAUUAGAGUGUUCAAAGCGGGCUUACGCUUGAAUAUAUUAGCAUGGAAUAACACCAUAGGACUCCUGUCCUAUUUCGUUGGUCUCGGGACGGGAGUAAUGAUUAAGAGGAACAGUUGGGGGCAUUCGUAUUUCAUUGUCAGAGGUGAAAUUCUUGGAUUUAUGAAAGACGAACUUCUGCGAAAGCAUUUGCCAAGGAUGUUUUCAUUGA